UAAAAUAAACACUAGACACAUUCAGAAAGUAAUUAUAGUAGUGCCAUCAAAGGCAGCGAAUAUUUUGUUGUCGCGUUGGUCAUGAUGCCAUGUAGCUUUGGCUUCUACCGUUUUCAACGAGCCUAAGAACACGUCAGUGUAUGAUCAAAACUGUGGUUACAACAUUUCCUUGUGAACGGUAUUGAUAUAAUCUAUCGCCUAGUGCUAUAAACAAUGAUGUACUGAAUAUUCGGUAUUAAUAGUAAAUAGUGAUAUCAUCGGUAUUUUCCAAUUAUAUAGU